rnacentral:rRNA from 1 species
GACGAACGCUGGCGGCGUGCCUAACACAUGCAAGUCGGAUGUGCCCGCAAGGGUGCAUGGCAGACGGGUGAGUAACGCGUGGGGAAUCUACCUUUUAGUGGGGGAAUAACGCUCCGAAAGGAGUGGUAAUACCGCAUGUGACCAUUGGCUGGGAUGCUGAUGGUGAAACCCUGGGACCUUCGGGCCAGGGGCUAGAAGAGGAUCCUGCGUCUGAUUAGCUAGUUGGCGGGGUAACGGCCCACCAAGGCGACGAUCAGUAGCCGGCCUGAGAGGGUGAUCGGCCACACUGGAACUGAGACACGGUCCAGACUCCUACGGAGGCAGCAGUGGGGAAUUUUGCGCAAUGGACGAAAGUCUGACGCAGCAACGCCGCGUGGGUGAUGAAGGUCUU